CUCCCAUCAAGAGAGAUAACACGAGGAAGAGAGAGAAAGAGACAGAGAGAGCGAUACCCGUGUCCACUCGACGGCAAUGGCGAAUACAGAUUGCCGGAGAUAAAUAUGGUACAAAUAACUGUAUUUCAAUUGAUUCCCCCUUCGUUAUGACUUAUAAUGCAUAUGGAUCUUAUACCACUCGUACUGGCCAGAACAAUUCAUCAUCUGCUGCAACAAUUAAAUGUGAAAGUGUACGUUUUCUUUCCAUAUACCGGUUUCAAUCAUUUCAAUCCCUGAUCUUAUAAAUGCAUGAUUACUUGGAUUUUAUUUUACUUGCACUCGUUAGUUCUUUGAACAUGUAUAUUUGUCUUGUUUUUUCUCCGUAUUUAGUUAUUUACCUUGUCAAAACUUCUUAUGAUUAGAUCGUUUAUUUUUGAAUUCGAAAUUCGAAUUAAAUAGUUGAAACAUGUCUUUCGGAUUAAAAGUUAUAUUUUCCUUUUGUUUUUAUUGCAUGACUUUAUUUCCUGGAACUAUCAUCGCCUUCUAGCUUUUUCCUCUCAAGAUUUAGAAGCUCAGUUUAGUAUUAGUUGUCUAACAGUCUGCUUGAAGUUUAUAGUAUUUGUUAGUUGCGGAUGCGUUUUCUGCUACACCAUUAACAGCCAAACCAAUCUACUGCUUCGUGGUUUUUGUUUUUGUUUUUUUUUUUCUUGAGGUGUAACUUCCAUCAGUAAAAGCAGCUAUUCUCGGAUCUAUAAAACUUCCCUUUUCUCAUCUUCACCUGAACUUUCCUUUCCUCAUAUUCUUAACGCGUCUGUUUAGGCUGUAUAAGCAUCUUGCUUGAUGGUAAGGUCAGCCUUUCUCCAUCUAGCAUACAUAUUUUUGUGUUUUCCUUCCGUUGUGUUUUUUAAGCAAUAUACUUCGCUGGAGUGGAGUUCUUGAGUUUGUUUAUCUUCAUUUUUAAAUGCAAAAUUACAGGUCCCUGGGUAGUCAAUCUGUUCAGUUGGGGAAGGAGAUGUGACUCAACUAUAAUUUUUUGUUUAUUUUUAGGAUAAUACUCUGGAUAUUUGUUAGUUUUUAGUGAAAAUAUAGUUUAUGGACAUUUUUCACAUCCUGGCACCAUACAUGUGUUUCCAUUGAAUAAUUCGGCAGAGAACAUUUUAAAACUGUACUAAAUAUUUUUUGGUUUUUUGGUUUUUUGUUUUUGUACUUAUGAGGAUCGUAAACGCAUCUGUUUGAGCAUGAGAAUUUUUGUUGAUAUUUUAAGCAUAUGGUUUCAUUGUAGUAAUAACUGUUUUAAUAACUUUUAGUUUAGAAACUUCUUCGGAUUUGGUUCCGUGUUGAAAAUUUUUAAAAUUCAAUGGAGAAAGCUGGGCUUAUUAUUAUUUUUAAUCCUGGAGAUGUAUGUCGUUGGAUGGAGAUUAAAUUAUAGUUCCAUGAGUCUUGUCCAUUAUCAUACUGGCUCUUGUAGAUUCCCACGUGCCUUUCCCAAUUGAAACCUGCUGACAGCUUCUGAAUUGGUGGGUCGGGACUCUGCGGAUAAGAUACUUGUAACAGUUCUUGGUUGCAGCCUCUUUUUAGAUCUUGUAAUGGCUGAUGGUAAUGUGUCACUGUAUCAGUCCAAAGCUUUAAAUGGUGAUUUUGACAUGUUUGUUAAAAAGGCGCACGAGUUUCAUCUAUUGCUUUGUGGGAUUUGGUGUCUCUCUCCAUUUUUUCCCCCUUCACUUCCUCUCCAAUAUUCAUUUUAACUCUUGGAUAUUUUUUUUUUGGAGCAAACUUUGGAUCAAAUUUUGAAUGAUUAGAAUUUAACAUUUUCUUAAAAUAAUUUUUUUAUUACAAUCGUAAAUUUUGAAUUAUAGUUUAAAUUAGAUUUGUUAUAUUUUAAAUUUAUUUAUUUAUUUUUAUAAAUUUAAAUUUAAAUUUAAAUUUUAAAAAAUAUUAAAUUUUAAUCAUUCAAAAUUUGAUAUGGGAAGUUGAGAGGGAGUGAAAAAGAAAGAGACGAGGCAAGUGAGUUUUAGCAUCAUGGCGUUGGUUUCUUUUUCAAGAAGCUAAAGGGGGUAAAUAUUACUUUAGAUGUCAUUUUCUUGUGCAGAAGAUCUAAAGGUCUUUGCUUGUUGCUUUCUUGUAAAGGAAAAGGUUUCUUUUACUUUUUAAGACGGUAGGUUUCCAUGUGGAAGGCAAUACUAUACUGUACGCUUGUGAACUGUACUGUGUCUCUGUAUUUGCUGCCUUGAAAGUAAUGAAAUCUAUUAUUUGUUUGUUGA